rnacentral:rRNA from 1 species
UGGGGAAUUUUGGACAAUGGGGGAAACCCUGAUCCAGCCAUCCCGCGUGUGCGAUGAAGGCCUUCGGGUUGUAAAGCACUUUUGGCAGGAAAGAAACGUCAUGGGUUAAUACCCCGUGAAACUGACGGUACCUGCAGAAUAAGCACCGGCUAACUACGUGCCAGCAGCCGCGGUAAUACGUAGGGUGCAAGCGUUAAUCGGAAUUACUGGGCGUAAAGCGUGCGCAGGCGGUUCGGAAAGAAAGAUGUGAAAUCCCAGAGCUCAACUUUGGAACUGCAUUUUUAACUGCCGGGCUAGAGUGUGUCAGAGGUAGGUGGAAUUCCGCGUGUAGCAGUGAAAUGCGUAGAUAUGCGGAGGAACACCGAUGGCGAAGGCAGCUUCCUGGGAGAACACUGACGCUCAUGCACGAAAGCGUGGGGAGCAAACAGG